rnacentral:lncRNA from 1 species
UGCUCUGAGUCUGCUCUGGAAGGGGAACACCAUUAUUUUGGCCAGGGGAACAAAUUCCAUCUCGUGUGAAAACCUCCAUGAUCUUACCCAAAUCCAGCAGGAAUAACCCUGGCUUGUCGUGUCUUAUCCCAUUUCCAUUGUGGGGAGCUGAAUUUGGGCAUGGUGUCUUUCCCCCUCUAAAUUAAAACCACUGAGGAUUUGGAGGCCUUUUUUUUUUUUUUUUUUUAAUUUUUUUGUGUGUAAUUAGAAGCCCCUGAGGUUAUGAAUUUUUGACUGCAUGCAUCCAGGUUGAGGUAGUAGGUUGUAUAGUUUAGAAUUACACCAAGGGAGAUAACUGUACAACCUCCUAGCUUUCCUUGGGUCUUGCACACACCGGCGCGAGGAGCGACCAAAAAUCCUCAGCACUCUUUGCUCUGGACACCUGGAACAGGAAAAGAGCAGCCCUCGAGCAGCGUGGUGUUAACAUUCCCAAAAAAGCACCAUGGCAACCUCUCAGUGCUCCUGCCUGCAUGGUCAGCAAGCAGAAGUCUCCAAAGGUAAAAAUAUCCUGAAUUUUUUCCCCUCCUUUCCAUUAGACUUUGAUUGGCUCAGUUAAUUCUACACCGGGAGUUAAACGAGGAUGGUGAUUCCAGAUAAAGCCUUGGAGACUUUAUCCAGAUAUUUAUUCCAGGUAAAGCCUUGGAGGUUUUAUCCAGAUUUUUAUUCCAGAUAAAGCCUUGGAGGUUUUAUCCCAGUUAUUAUUCCAGAUAAAGCCUUGGAGACUUUAUCCUGAUAUUUAUUCCAGGUAAAGCCUUGGAGGUUUUAUCCAGAUUUUUAUACCAGAUAAAGCCUUGGAGGUUUUAUUUCUAUUCCAGAUAAAGCCUUGGAGACUUUAUCCAGAUCUUUAUUCCAGAUAAAGC